GACGAACGCUGGCGGCGUGCUUAACACAUGCAAGUCGAACGGAAAGGCCCUGCUUUUGUGGGGUGCUCGAGUGGCGAACGGGUGAGUAACACGUGAGUAACCUGCCCUUGACUUUGGGAUAACUUCAGGAAACUGGGGCUAAUACCGGAUAGGAGCUCCUGCUGCAUGGUGGGGGUUGGAAAGUUUCGGCGGUUGGGGAUGGACUCGCGGCUUAUCAGCUUGUUGGUGGGGUAGUGGCUUACCAAGGCUUUGACGGGUAGCCGGCCUGGGAGGGUGACCGGCCACAUUGGGACUGCGGUACGGCCCAGACUCCUACGGGAGGCAGCGGUGGGGAAUAUUACACAGUGGGCGGGAGCCUGAUGCAGCAACGCCGCGUGCGGGAUGACGGCCUUCGGGUUGUAAACCGCUUUCGCCUGUGACGAAGCGUGAGUGACGGUAAUGAGUAAAGAAGCACCGGCUAACUACGUG
rnacentral:rRNA from 1 species